rnacentral:rRNA from 1 species
CACGUAGGGUGCGAGCGUUGUCCGGAAUUAUUGGGCGUAAAGAGCUCGUAGGCGGCUUGUCACGUCGAUUGUGAAAGCCCGAGGCUUAACCUCGGGUCUGCAGUCGAUACGGGCUAGCUAGAGUGUGGUAGGGGAGAUCGGAAUUCCUGGUGUAGCGGUGAAAUGCGCAGAUAUCAGGAGGAACACCGGUGGCGAAGGCGGAUCUCUGGGCCAUUACUGACGCUGAGGAGCGAAAGCGUGGGGAGCGAACAGG